GGCCUGCGCCGGCGCGUCGUUCGCUCCUCGCCGGCGACUCGGCUCCAGCCUCCACUCCACGACCGCCGGCGGCGGCUACACGUCCGGCUUCCACGGUUCCACACCGUCAGUCCAUCACAGUGCCGCGCCGGCCUCCCCUCCCUGGUCAAGGCCGCCACCGCACCUCCAGCCACGCACUGAACUAUGAUUUGUGAGUAUUCUCUUCUCCCAUGUUCCUCCCUUUUUCUACCUAUCUGGCUAUUUGUCCACUGUCAUAUUGUUGAAUAAUUAGACAGAUUCUAGAUUAAAUUCCAAAUAUAAAUCAUGACCAAAUCAGAAGAACUAAAGUAAAAAGCCAAAUCAGAUGAUGCGUACUGAUUAGACAUACUGAUAGAUGACGCGCGCCAGAAUCAGCAAUGUCGAUGACGUCGAAGCAGCAAAGUCAGCAGGAUCGACGAGGUCAGAAGAUCACGAGCAGUCGCGUGAAGACGCUUCCCAAAAACCUUAUUCGCCCUCUCCCGGUGCAGGAUCAAGAAGACGAAGGGUUCCGGAGACCUGCUCUCCUGAUCGCAGAUGCACGUCUGCGGUCGGGAUGAAGGGAAUUGGAAGGCGCUCAGCUAUGAAGAGAGGCGAAAGCGAAAC
rnacentral:lncRNA from 1 species